rnacentral:tRNA from 1 species
GCCGCCUUAGCUCAGUGGUAGAGCACUUCCAUGGUAAGGAAGGGGGCCUCGGUUCAAUCCCGAGAGGCGGCU